GAGAGAGCGCGCCUUUACCGCGGCCACUUUCCCCCUCCGGCGCCCCGGGGCUGGGGGAGGCCGGGCUACAGCGCCCGCAGCCCCCGGCCCCGACACGGCUGCCCCACUCCGCAUGACACCCCUGGCGCCAGGGGAGCACCCCCUCCACCCAGCCCCUCGGCGGCGGGACCCCCUCGGCCCCAGGGCUGGCGCGGUGUCGUCCCCCGGCGCCGCCGCCCGGGCGGGAGCGGGAGCGGUCCCCGGCCCCACCGCCCUGCGGCAUGCGGCGGGAUCCCGCGGCACCCCUUCGCCCGUACCCCGCCGACCCGGCGGGAGCCGCUGACAGGUCGCCGCCAGUGGCCCCGGCACCUGCGCUGCGCUCACCGCCCUGAGAGGAGGGGCUGCCGGCCAGACCGCGGCGCGGCGGAGCGGGAGGGAGGGAGAGAGGGAGGGAGGCGGCGGCGGCGGCGCACGGCCGGCGGCGGGCGGGCCCCCGGGGGCGGCGGGCGCCCCUCGCCCUCGCCCCGCCGCGGGGCCGGGCGGCCGCGGCGCCACCGACACCUUACUUCCUGCUUCGCUACCCGGGGCCAGACCCAUCGCGGCGGAGGGAUCCUGCCGCCUCCCGCAGCCUCCUCCCCCUCCUGCUUCUGCUUUUCCCGGCUCCCUGCUGCAAGGAAAUUAUUUGACAGCGAUUUGCUGACACCGAGGUUUUUUUUCUUUCCUUUUUUUUUUUUUUCUUUCUUUCUUUUUGCAUCACGGACUCGGCAGCGCGGCGGGCGGGGGAGGCCGUGCCGGAGAUGGAAUUUCAUGUCUUGCUGUAUUUUGAAUAGGACGAGGAGAUGUGUCUGAUAAGGUAAGAGAGAGGGUAAGAUAAACAUGUUCUUACACAAAACUGUCACACUAGUUGGUUUCUUGGGUUGAGGAUAAUAUUUUUUUCCCUGGUAGAACCCCGCAAAUAAUUGCAAUAAUUAUUUUUAAGUUAAAUCUGCCUCUAAGCCUCUGAGCAGAGACCAUCUCUGUUCUAUACAGCUUCUGACCCAGUCCUUUCUCCUGGUGAACUGAUGCACAAAGACCAGAAGACAAAACUUACACCCUUUCAGGCAUAGGGGUUAGCAAGAUAGUCAUGCUAUUAUUUUACAGCUUUUUUUUUAAAGUAACAGAGGGUGUGGAGAAGUUUUUCUUUAGUUUUGGUAUAUUGCCUCCCACCACAUCCCCACCCCUGAUAUUUAAAAGUUCAAAAGAUCUUCAAACUGUUUUAACUUCUACACUUUAAAACUUGUUUUUCUUGUUGCAGUACUUUUAAAUUUGGACUGUUUUUUAUUAGGACAGAGCAUAUAUUAAUAGAAAUGCUCUAGAUUUGAAUUUGAAAUUAAUAUUUGCUGUCACUAAUGUGCUGAAGGAAGCUGCAAGUUUGCUGAUCUUUUAAAAUUAAUUUUUAAUAGUAUUUUUAAAAGGCAGUGUUUAGAUGGAUACUUUUUUCCUUUCAGUUUCUGCUUACGAGGUUUCCACUGUUAGAGAGGAGUAGAUGUCUCUAAAACUCUUUAAGUGUUGGGAGAACCAUAUUCAAAC
ensembl:lncRNA